GUUACUGUUUGGCUGUUAGUGUUAUUAGGAAAGUAGUUCAGGUUUAGUGCUCCAUAUCGUGUUAGUAUGGUGAGAAGGUGUAGUGUAGUGUGGUUGUGGUGGCUCUGUGGAGUUGUACUCCUUUCCGCUGGACUUAGAAAUUAGGCGCCAGUGGUUGCGUGUCUGGAAAAGAUUCAGCUCCUGCCGGGUGCUGUAGUUUGCAACCAGCAUUUUACCCGCGAUUCUGCACGUCUCCGUUCCAAGAGGGAGGCUGUGCCCACCGUGGCUCUUCCGCGAUUUAGAUGCAGCCCACCGACUCUGCUCCCCCACCAUGACGGGCUCCAGUCUGAGGCUAAAUCUACCCAAGACACUGGCUGUCAGACUGAUUUAGUAAUCUGCAAGAAUGCACUUGUCCAGGCUGACGUGAAGCGUUACCCGUAGCAAAGGUGAAUUAUUUUUAAUAAUCUUCUAUGUAAACAUUUUAUUACCUUCUAGUUUUAAUUUGUUUUACAGAUUGUUACACGCGAUUUUAUGCUCUUUUAAACAUUUAUAAAUGUGCUGCUUCUUUGUUUUUUAUAGAGCUCACAGCCUCAAUGUCUUGUGACACAGGGACCAUGACGGAAAUUCAUCUUCCAGAAGGUCCCAGAGCAUCCACACCCCCUGAAAAGACCAAGAUGUGAGGUGUCUGCUGUUGAUUCCAGCUUCCACCUCAGUGACAAUGCAAGCUCAGUGAACUGUUCAAGGUAAAAAAAAAUUAAAACAUUUCUGAAUUUUUACGAUAUUAACAAUUAAAUAAGUAUGUGAUUACAUCAUGACGGAGGCUACUGAUUCUGGCCCUGUGACACUUGGUGGUGACGUGUGAGCUGAUUCACCAGGACACUCAGCAAAAUAUGGACUCUACAUCAUGAGGCAGGCACACGUUAAUACUCUAUAAGAGCACAUAAGGUGAGCAACACCACAUAUUAUUUUAUUACUGUACACUGUCCUGGAUUUGUUUUCUUUCUGCAUCUCAUCAUUAGCCUGGCUGAUCACCUGAUAACUCCUGUCAUCUGGUUGUGACAGCAUGAGGAUGUCCUCACACACCUGUAACCUAUUAGCUCAUCUGGCAGAAUAGAGAGAGGAGACAA